AAUUAAUAAUGCAUGGACACGAACAUACGUCGGUGCGUGAGAGAGAUCCAAAUAUGACAAGUAAGUAAAUUAUCUAAUUUAAUGCUGUUUUGUUUUGUUUUGUUUUUUAAUUUUUUCUGAAUUUUAAUUUAUUUAUAUAUACUAUAUAUAUAGGAAAAAAAAAUUAUAAAAAAAUUAAAAUUGUAACACUGCACGCAUUAAAUGGAUCCAACAGAACGUGAGGUUCC
rnacentral:lncRNA from 1 species